CCGACCUCAGGAAGAGAGGCGUGAUUACGAUGUCAGGUACACCAGGAAAACUGUAUGUGAGUUGCAAAACGAAUUACCACAGCUGAAUUGGCUAGAAUUUUUCAAGACCAUGUUCGGAAAUACAGACAUCACCAUCGAUGACAAUUUGCCUGUUGUUGUGUGGGAAAUGGAAUACUACAAUUCUACGCUUGACUACCUUGCCACUCUACGCAGGGGUACUCUCCAUAACUUCUUCGGCCUUCAAGUUGUUUCGUUCUUCGGGCCAUAUACGGACGAAAGAUUCCGAGACCUGCUUUUGGAGUUCAACGAGGCUGCUGUUGGCAUCACAAAAAAUGAAGACAGUUCGACUAGAUGCGUCACGGACCUUCAAAAUCACGCAGGCAACGUGGUUGGCCGAAUGUACGUGGAGAAAAUGUUCAGUCCACAAGCA